UACGUAGGGGGCGAGCGUUGUCCGGAUUUACUGGGCUUAAAGAGUUCGUAGGCGGCGCAGAAAGUAGGGUGUGAAAGCCCUCGGCUCAACCGAGGAAUUGCGCCCUAAACUACUGUGCUUGAGGAACCUAGAGGUGAGCGGAACUGAUGGUGGAGCGGUGAAAUGCGUUGAUAUCAUCAGGAACACCGGAGGCGAAGGCGGCUCACUGGGGGUUAUCUGACGCUGAGGAACGAAAGCCAGGGGAGCGAACGGG
rnacentral:rRNA from 1 species